rnacentral:rRNA from 1 species
UGGCGGACGGGUGAGUAACGCGUGGGUAACCUGCCUCAUACAGGGGGAUAACAGUUAGAAAUAGCUGCUAAUACCGCAUAAGCGCACGGUUCCGCAUGGAACAGUGUGAAAAACUCCGGUGGUGUGAGAUGGACCCGCGUCUGAUUAGCCAGUUGGCGGGGUAACGGCCCACCAAAGCGACGAUCAGUAGCCGGCCUGAGAGGGUGAACGGCCACAUUGGGACUGAGACACGGCCCAA